UACGAAGGGGGGCUAGCGUUGCUCGGAAUUACUGGGCGUAAAGCGCACGUAGGCGGUCUUUUAAGUCGGGGGUGAAAUCCUGGAGCUCAACUCCAGAACUGCCUUUGAUACUGAGGAUCUUGAGUUCGGGGAGAGGUGAGUGGAACUGCGAGUGUAGAGGUGAAAUUCGUAGAUAUUCGCAAGAACACCAGUGGCGAAGGCGGCUCACUGGCCCGAUACUGACGCUGAGGCACGAAAGCGUGGGGAGCAAACAGG
rnacentral:rRNA from 1 species